CUACAUGUAAGCUAGUCGCCGGGGGAUGGGCCUGCGUCCGAUUAGCUGGUUGGUGGGGUAACGGCCCACCAAGGCGACGAUCGGUAGCCGGUCUGAGAGGACUGAACGGCCACAUUGGGACUGAGACACGGCCCAGACUCCUACGGGAGGCAGCAGUUGGGGAAUCUUCCGCAAUGGGCGCAAGCCUGACGGAGCAACGCCGCGUGGGUGAGGAAGUUCUUCGGAACGUAAAGCCCUUGUUGUUUUAUGACGAACGGGCUUCCUGUGAACAAUGGGAGGCAGUGACGGUAAUAGACGAGGAAGCCACGGCUAACUACGUGCC
rnacentral:rRNA from 1 species